rnacentral:lncRNA from 1 species
CGGGACUGGGCGGUGGGGGGAAGAGAAGCAUGCUGGGAACUGUAGUCGUGUUGUCUCCACGUUAGCAGCAGGUAUGUCUUCAUCUUCCUGAUGGCUUGCGGAAGGUUGACACCAGUUAGACCCUGGCACUCCUGGGAGUGGCUGCGGCCGAGAGAAAUGGAACUCUGCUUGAGUGAAAGGACUUUUGUUUUUUGCAAAUCCGUCUAAACCCAUUCACACUCCCUGGAGGCCUUCAUGGGAAAUGGAAUGUCUCAAAGACAGGCAGCAGGAGAGACGCGGGUGAUCUUCAGACUGGACGCUCAGCUCCUGAUGAUACGAGAGACGGGGAGGUAGAAGGACAGAGAAUGUUCCUGUUUGGGGCUCCAUUGAAAGACUCUGAUGCAGUUUCCUGCCAGGCCCCCACUUUCUCUUUUCUAGAGAUUUUUCUCAAUUACAGGAACACCAUAAUUAGAACUUCUGAAAAUCACAAGUUUAGGUAGCAGCUGGCUGGGCUUUAGACCCCAUGGAUGUAGGGUGAGAUGGAACAACUCAGCUUAGAUGUAUGAUGUGCUCAUUAUCUAUCAUCCACAUCCAGUUAUUAAAACAGAGUCUCUAGCCUCUGUGAGGAGGAUGUGGUCAGCUUGGUCUCAUUGCUGUGUUUACUGCAAAGAAAAAAUUCUUCUACAUUUUUAAAAAUUUCACUCUUUUGACUAAUUUGGGCUAUGUAGCCACACAACCUCCAGCCUUCUUCCAGUUCAAAUUCGACGGAUGUAGUUAUUUGAAUAUGCUUUCCUUUAAACAUAAUGAAAAAGAGAUAUGGAAAUCAGAAUUUAUGUAAAAUGCAGUGUAAUUUUGAGGCUGCCUAUUAACUUUAUAAAAAAGAGUUCCUUCUCUGGUUGAA